rnacentral:tRNA from 5 species
CGGCCGCGUGGCCUAAUGGCUAAGGCGCUAGAUUUCGGUUCUCCAGCACCCGUAUCCUCUAGAGAUUCCAGGUUCGAAUCCUGGCGUGGUCGA